AAUAAAAUUAUUUAUGGUUUAAAAAUUUAUUAUAAAUUUAUUUUACAUAUAAAUUUUAGUGUUAAUUUUUAAUUUAUUUAAAUAAUAAUUAAUAUUUAUUUGUAGUAAUUAAAAUUAAAAAUUUAAGUAAUUAAGAUUUAGUAAUAUUUAAAUUAAUAACAAAUUUUGUGCCAGCAGUUGCGGUUAUACAAAAAUUAAAUUAAAUUUUUUUAGGAAUUAAUUAAUAAUAGAUUAUAUAAUAAAAUUAAAAUUUAAAUUAUUAAGUGAAAUUUUAAUUUAUGAAAAUUUUAUAUUGAAUUAUGAAUUAAAAAAUUUUAUUAAAAACUAGGAUUAGAUACCCUAUUAUUAAAAAUUUAAAUUAAUAAUACUAAAAUAGUAUAUAAUUAUUUAUAAAAACUUAAAUAAUUUGGCGGUAUUUUAGUUUAUUUAGAGGAAUCUGUUUAUUAAUUGAUAUUCCACGAAUAAAUUUACUUAAUUUAUUUAAUUUUGUAUAUCGUUGUUAAAAAAAUAUUUUAAAAUAAUAAUAAUAUUUUAAUUUUUAUAUUAAAAGUUAAAUCAGAUCAAGAUGCAGAUUAUAAUUAAGAAUAUAAUGGAUUACAAUAAAUUUAUUUAAUUGGAUGUUAUUUUUAAAAAUUAAUUGAAAUUGGAUUUAAAUGUAAUUUUAUUUAAUUUAUUAAAAUGAUUUUAAUUUAAAAUAUGUACAUAUUGCCCGUCGCUUUCAUUAAUAAAUUGAAAUAAGUCGUAACAAAGUAGAGGUACUGGAAAGUGUUUCUAGAAAGAGUA
rnacentral:ncRNA from 2 species